rnacentral:rRNA from 1 species
GACGAACGCUGGCGGCGUGCCUAAUACAUGCAAGUUGAGCGAUGAAGAUUGGUGCUUGCACCAAUUUGAAGAGCAGCGAACGGGUGAGUAACGCGUGGGGAAUCUGCCUUUGAGCGGGGGACAACAUUUGGAAACGAAUGCUAAUACCGCAUAAUAACUUUAAACAUAAGUUUUAAGUUUGAAAGAUGCAAUUGCAUCACUCAAAGAUGAUCCCGCGUUGUAUUAGCUAGUUGGUGAGGUAAAGGCUCACCAAGGCGAUGAUACAUAGCCGACCUGAGAGGGUGAUCGGCCACAUUGGGACUGAGACACGGCCCAAACUCCUACGGGAGGCAGCAGUAGGGAAUCUUCGGCAAUGGACGAAAGUCUGACCGAGCAACGCCGCGUGAGUGAAGAAGGUUUUCGGAUCGUAAAGCUCUGUUGGUAGAGAAGAACGUUGGUGAGAGUGGAAAGCUCAUCAAGUGACGGUAACUACCCAGAAAGGGACGGCUAACUACGUG